rnacentral:rRNA from 1 species
UACAGAGGGUGCAAGCGUUAAUCGGAAUUACUGGGCGUAAAGCGCGCGUAGGCGGCUGCUUAAGUCGGAUGUGAAAUCCCCGGGCUUAACCUGGGAACUGCAUUCGAUACUGAGCAGCUAGAGUAUGAGAGAGGGAGGUAGAAUUCCACGUGUAGCGGUGAAAUGCGUAGAUACGUGGAGGAAUACCGGUGGCGAAGGCGGCCUCCUGGCUUAAUACUGACGCUGAGGUGCGAAAGCGUGGGGAGCAAACAGG